AUUUCUCUGGCAGAUAAAUGCAUUAAAUUUAGAAUUUAAAUAUACAAAUUAUUGUGAGAAAUA
rnacentral:tRNA from 1 species